rnacentral:rRNA from 1 species
AGGACGAACGCUGGCGGCGUGCUUAACACAUGCAAGUCGAGCGGAAAGGCCCUUCGGGGUACUCGAGCGGCGGAACGGGUGAGUAACACGUGAGCAAUCUGCCCUUAGCUUCGGGACUAGCUCCGGGAAACCGGAAUUAAUACCGGAUACGACGACGGCCGACAUCCGGCCGUGGUGGAAAGAUUUAUCGGCUAGGGAUGGGCUCGCGGCCUAUCGGCUUGUUGGUGGGGUAACUGCCUACCAAGGCGACGACGGGUA